AGGAUUUUAAGUUAAUAAAACUUCUAGCCUUCAAAGCUAAAAAUAUUCUUUUAAAUCAAUAUUU
rnacentral:tRNA from 1 species